rnacentral:lncRNA from 1 species
CUCCCGCAUCCCUCCCGAGCAGACGCCUCGGAAGCGCGAAGAUGGAAAACAAGCUGGGAGCACUGCCAUGUCGGCUCUGGGAACGGCGCGUGCGUGUUCACCCUGAUGCACGUUGUUGUGGAGGGAGCCCCCGCCUCGUGGGGGGAGCCCCCAUCUCGUGGAGGGAACCCACAUCUCGUGGAGGGAGCCCUCAUCUCGUGGGGGGAGCCCUCAUCUCGUGGGGGGAGCCCCCAUCUCGUGGAGGGAGCCCCCAUCUCGUGGAGGGAACCCUCAUCUCGUGGAGGGAGCCCCCAUCUCGUGGAGGGAACCCACAUCUCGUGGAGGGAGCCCUCAUCUCGUGGAGGGAGCCCCCAUCUCGUGGAGGGAGCCCUCAUCUCGUGGAGGGAGCCCUCAUCUCGUGGAGGGAGCCCCCAUCUCGUGGAGGGAACCCUCAUCUCGUGGAGGGAGCCCCCAUCUCGUGGAGGGAGCCCCCAUCUCGUGGAGGGAGCCCUCAUCUCGUGGAGGGAGCCCCCAUCUCGUGGAGGGAGCCCCCAUCUCGUGGAGGGAACCCACAUCUCGUGGAGGGAGCCCUCAUCUCGUGGGGGGAGCCCACAUCUCGUGGAGGGAGCCCCCAUCUCAUGGAGGGAACCCCCAUCUCGUGGAGGGAGCCCUCAUCUCGUGGGAGGAGCCCACAUCUCACGGAGGGAGCCCCCAUCUCGUGGAGGGAACCCACAUCUUGUGGAGGGAGCCCUCAUCUCAUGGGAAGCCCCCAUCUCAUGGAGGGAACCCCAUCUCCUGGAGAGAGGGUUUGGGCUGAAACUCUGGGGAUGUGCGAUCAAAGAGACUGAGUUGCUUCCUGACACAGCUGCUUAACAGCUUGUCAAGCCGUGACUCUGUGUGUCACAGUAGCGUUCCUGGGCGGUCACCUGCACCCGCAGCCAUCGCCAGCACCUGUUCCAGCCCCGAGCUCGGCCGGGACACAACAGUUGCGCCACGUCCUUGUUCAGAUCAGGCGUCCGGGGCUGUUUCUUGCGGGUCCUGACCACCAGGACACCUUUUUCCCAAUUAAAUCAGCACUCGCGACUAAAACAGUCACGGUUGACCGUUAUUCAGUUCUCGUUGGGUGUCCUUGGCACACAUUGAUUCUUCCUACCGCCGUGU